GCCUAGGAAUCUGCCUGGUAGUGGGGGACAACGUCUCGAAAGGGACGCUAAUACCGCAUACGUCCUACGGGAGAAAGCAGGGGACCUUCGUGCCUUGCGCUAUCAGAUGAGCCUAGGUCGGAUUAGCUAGUUGGUGAGGUAAUGGCUCACCAAGGCGACGAUCCGUAACUGGUCUGAGAGGAUGAUCAGUCACACUGGAACUGAGACACGGUCCAGACUCCUACGGGAGGCAGCAGUGGGGAAUAUUGGACAAUGGGCGAAAGCCUGAUCCAGCCAUGCCGCGUGUGUGAAGAAGGUCUUCGGAUUGUAAAGCACUUUAAGUUUGGGAGGAAGGGCAGUAAGCGAAUACCUUGCUGUUUUGACGUUACCGACAGAA
rnacentral:rRNA from 1 species